rnacentral:rRNA from 1 species
GACGAACGCUGGCGGCGUGCCUAAUACAUGCAAGUAGAACGCUGAAGGAGGAGCUUGCUCUUCUGGAUGAGUUGCGAACGGGUGAGUAACGCGUAGGUAACCUGCCUGGUAGCGGGGGAUAACUAUUGGAAACGAUAGCUAAUACCGCAUAACAGUAGAUGUUGCAUGACAUUUACUUAAAAGGUGCAAUUGCAUCACUACCAGAUGGACCUGCGUUGUAUUAGCUAGUUGGUGGGGUAACGGCUCACCAAGGCGACGAUUCAUAGCCGACCUGAGAGGGUGAUCGGCCACACUGGGACUGAGACACGGCCCAGACUCCUACGGGAGGCAGCAGUAGGGAAUCUUCGGCAAUGGACGGAAGUCUGACCGAGCAACGCCGCGUGAGUGAAGAAGGUUUUCGGAUCGUAAAGCUCUGUUGUAAGAGAAGAACGAGUGUGAGAGUGGAAAGUUCACACUGUGACGGUAUCUUACCAGAAAGGGACGGCUAACUACGUG